rnacentral:rRNA from 1 species
CGCGGCCUAUCAGCUUGUUGGUGGGGUAGUGGCCUACCAAGGCGACGACGGGUAGCCGGCCUGAGAGGGCGACCGGCCACACUGGGACUGAGACACGGCCCAGACUCCUACGAGAGGCAGCAGUGGGGAAUAUUGCACAAUGGGCGGAAGCCUGAUGCAGCGACGCCGCGUGGGGGAUGACGGCCUUCGGGUUGUAAACCUCUUUCAGCACCGACGAAUCUGACGGUAGGUGCAGAAGAAGCGCCGGCUAACUACGUGCCAGCAGCCGCGGUAAUACGUAGGGCGCAAGCGUUGUCCGGAAUUAUUGGGCGUAAAGAGCUCGUAGGCGGUUUGUCGCGUCUGUCGUGAAAGCCCGGGGCUUAACUCCGGGUCUGCGGUGGAUACGGGCAGACUAGAGGCUGGUAGGGGAGAACGGAAUUCCCGGUGUAGCGGUGAAAUGCGCAGAUAUCGGGAGGAACACCGGUGGCGAAGGCGGUUCUCUGGGCCUGUACUGACGCUGAGGAGCGAAAGCGUGGGGAGCGAACAGGAUUAGAUACCCUGGUAGUCCACGCCGUAAACGUUGGGCGCUAGGUGUGGGGUCUUUCCACGGACUCCGUGCCGUAGCUAACGCAUUAAGCGCCCCGC